rnacentral:tRNA from 1 species
AGCAGCGUGGCUCAGUGGAAAGAGCCUGGGCCUUCGGAGUCAGAGGUCAUGAGUUCGACUCCCAGCUCUGCCA